GUGCACCAGUCGCGAAACCUCCGCAAUACACGAAAGUGUGACGGGGCCAUCCCGAGUGCCGUCCGCUGAGGACGGCUUUUCCUCAGUGUACAUAGCUGGGGGAAUAAGGAGAGGGCAAGCCUGGUGUCAGCCGCCGCGGUAAUACCAGCUCUCCGAGUGGUGGGGACGCUUAUUGGGCCUAAAGCAUCCGUAGCCGGCUGGGCAAGUCCUCCGUUAAAUCCAACGAUUCAAUCGUUGGGCUGCGGGGGAUACUGUCCAGCUUGGGGGCGGGAGAGGCCGACGGUAUUCCCGGGGUAGGGGUGAAAUCCUAUAAUCCCGGGAGGACCACCAGUGGCGAAGGCUGUCGGCUAGAACGCGCCCGACGGUGAGGGGUGAAAGCGUGGGGGAGCGAACCGGAUUAGGAUACCCCGUAGU
rnacentral:rRNA from 1 species